rnacentral:rRNA from 1 species
AUUGAACGCUGGCGGCAGGCCUAACACAUGCAAGUCGAACGAGUGGCGGACGGGUGAGUAAUGUCUGGGAAACUGCCUGAUGGAGGGGGAUAACUACUGGAAACGGUAGCUAAUACCGCAUACCAUCAGAUGUGCCCAGAUGGGAUUAGCGUGUUGGUGGGGUAACGGCGCACCAAGGCGACGAUCCCUAGCUGGUCUGUGAGGAUGACCAGCAAAACGGGACCUGAGCAACGGUCCAGACUCCUACGGGAGGAAGCGGUGGGGAUUAUUGAAAAAUGGGCGCAAGCCUGAUGCAGCCAUGCGGCGUGUAUGAAGAAGGCCUUCGGGUUGUAAAGUACUUUCAGCGGGGAGGCGUUACCCGCAGAAGAAGCACCGGCUAACUCCGUGCCAGCAGCCGCGGUAAUU